CCACUGGAGCACUGGGAUCUGGACCAGAUUCUUCUGACUCUUCAAACAGAUAGACUAUUUUUAGGAGGCAGUGUGUCUGACGAACCAAUGGAAGUACAACCAGGUAGACAAUAGGGUAACUAAGGUAUCACUGAUAUAGCUACUGCUGAACAACUAGUAGAUGUAGAGUAACCAGUGUGCACCUAGCAUGUCAUUCACACUCAAUGCUAUUAUCAUAAUGGUGUAAUCAAUUCAUUCUCAGUUUGGUCACAGAUGGAGACAAUGUAAGGUCACAGGAUACUAUAUUGGAGAGGCUGGCUGCUUUCUGUAGGACACAGUCAUGUGGAGAUGCUGAAGAGGAAAGAGAAACUGCGCCAGAUAAAACUUCUGGUGUGCCUCAGAAAGCACCUGUCCAACAUCCUACCAAUUUCAGACAAAAUGGUGGAUGGAGAAAGUCUUUCAAAAGGAUGGCAUUUGAGUUGCAGCCAAGCCGCCAGGAAGCGCCCACCGUUUAUAUUGAUUUACGUAACCCUGAGCCUCCCACGAAAACAACCAGACCAUGUAACAGCACUUCAUCACAAUCCUUGAAACUGACCAACCUCAACCUACACGACAAAAAACAAUCUGAUGAGAAAACAGAGUAAUAUACGGUCUGGUUUACUGAAUGGAAAAGAGUAAAUAUUGCCCUAAAUAACUGACCCAUUGUAAAGCUCUAAACAUUAUUACAUAGGUUUGUAAAUAUACUAUAAUGGCUCUGUGGCUGUGAACUAUGAAUUCAGUUUAACUCCUUCCUGAGUUCAUGUUGUUUUUUCUUCUCACAGGGAAGUAAUUGGAAAGAGCCUGUUACUCAGAAUGUUACGCGAGGCGAACAGAAACAGGAGAGAGCCGGACAGGAAAGAUCCAGUUCCAGCAGAUUCUACAUUCAGAACCCCCAGAAGAGUGGCCUUGAAGGACAAGCUGCCUGAGGCUAACAAUGAGAUAACAUCUCUGCUCCCAGAGGUGGACAACAAAACCACAUGUCCCACAAUGAAGCGUGACCAAAACAGGCCGCCAGUUGAGAGAACACCUGGUAUUCAGCAGAGUGCUACUACCGGGCAGCCAAAGAAACAAAGUGACCGAGAGCAGAGAGAGCAAAAGAAACAGAGAGCACAGUGCCAGCAACAGCUCCAGAAACAGCUGGAAAGCUUUAGACCAACAAGGUCUGCCGGAGACAGGGAGCCUGCCGCUGAGAAGACUGAUGUUCUUUAUGACGCUGGGUCCUCUCACCUACUAACAGUUAACACUCUGCUUGCUGAUAUGGAGGAUAAGAAGUGCUUGCUGCUGACUGUAUGCCAGUCCAGGCCUGGUAGCCAGCAGCAGUCAUCAUUGGAAAGCACCAACAGUGGAGUCAGCCACAACCAAAUCCCAUAUAUACAAUGCUCUGGUUGCUUGGUUUCUGUCUUUGGUUGGAGCACCAGGCCCUCAAAGUGGUGA
rnacentral:lncRNA from 1 species